GUUUUGAUUCCGUUCAUUCGUUACUUGUGCGACGGCGAGCGCGGCGAAGGAGUGUUCCGUAACGUAACAAGUUCCCAAAAAUUGCAAAUCCCCGCAAGGCCAAGGGAAUUAUUAUGGUGAUCGGUUCGCGUAAAAGUCUGUGAUAAAGUGUGCACCACAAUAUGUUCCCCCCAGCUCUAGUUCGUGUUCUUUCCCAACGGAUCCGGGUGCCUCUCGUGAAUCGCUUGAAAGGUUGCGAUGGCGGUCGUGUUUCCGCGAAAUCCUGGUUGCACACUUCCGGCACGAUCGGAGCCAAAAAGUUUUCCGACACGGAAAACGACUAUGCCCAUGGCAUUCUGCAGCAGCAGCAGCAAGUGUCGGUGGCGGCAGGGAUUGGGGUGCACUCGCUCGCCCAGCGAGCGAUGGUGGUUGGAAAGCCAGUGGACUUUGGGGAAGUGAGCGACUGGAAGGCGUACUCGACGCGGGAAGUUCUGGAUUGGUUUCAUCGGGUGGCGGACAUUUGCAAGCAGGAGGGCAUGUGUGUUUCCGAUGAGAGAUUCGACGGAUUCGUGGAAGCGAUGGUCGGACGGAUGGUGGAAUUGACGGACGAGGAGAUUGUCGAGGUGCUGCAUCUGUUGGCACUGAUUGGACCGGAAACGCCGGCGGUGGAUGCGAGAAACUUCAUGGAGCUGUGGAACGCAGCGGAUCGGGUGUGUCUGGCGAGGGUACCGAAGUGGAACACGGAGAAGCUGUUGUACAUGGCGGAUCAGUGGUAUCCCUUGAAGGUGGCUAAGAUAGGGAAGUUUGUUGGGAAGGCAAUGUGGAAGAUCAGCACCAGGUUGAGGAAGCUCCCGAGAGAUCAGCUGGUUCGGGCCGUGUUUUACAUCAAUCUUACGAGGACGCCGGUGGAAAAUAUGAUCGACAUUGAGUUCAACUUGAAGGACAACUUUUUCGAUUUUGAAAUCGACGACAUCGCAAUCCUUUGCAUGGGAUUCUUCAAAACGGCCACGCCCGUCCGAAGCGUGGAGUUGAUCGAGCGGAUCUAUCAAUUUACGAUCCACAGCUCGAAGGACGUCAAGGACAUCAGCCUGGCGGCAAUUUUGAAACUUUUACGCUACUCUUCAAAGAUACCCCAUGCUCCGUCUAUGGAGCGCCUUCUAACGGCCUUAAUCCCGGAGAUUCCGAGGAUGUCCCUCUUUUGUUGCUUGCAUCUGGCUCUACUUGGUUCGGACAUCCAUCUGUGCCAUCAAGCGAGUCUCGAGGUUAUCAUCGAACGAUUCACCAAAGAUAUCCAACUCCUGCGGUUGAAGGACAUGGAGCGGAUCGCUUUCAUCAUUGGCCAUUUCAACCUGACCAUCCCAGAUCAAAAAGACAUUGCACUGCUGAAGGCCAUCAUUGAAGAACUGCCCAACCGCAUCCAGGAGAUAACCCAAUAUCCAAAGAGCUACCUCUCCCUGCUCAAUUUCAUGACCCUUAAGGAGAUCUACAGCGAACCUCUCAUAACGGCCGCCUUCGAGAAGCGCUUCCUGUUCAUGACCUAUGGUCGGAACGUUGCCGGCGCAGGCCGCGAAGUCAUAUCUCUGGACGCCUUCCUAAGAAUCAACCUAAAAAACGCCAACUACACCGGGAACUACUUCCCGCAAAAACCCUUCAAGGUGGUGGCCAAGUUGACCCAGGACUACGUUCCCAGUCGGGAAUACCGGCUGACCAAAUCGGACCGGAUGCUGCUGGAAAUCCAAAGCGCCUUCCAAAGCCGCCAUCAAUUCGCACACAUAAUACAUCUGCUGCCGCACUUCCAGCGACCGGACGUGAUCCUCCUGUGGGACCAAGGCCGGAAGCAGUUCCUGGAUGUGGCCGCUCGCUGUCCGGAGCAGUACUCGGGGGAUAUUUUGAGCAGGGAGCAGCUGCUGAAGGAUGACGCCGCGGAUGGGAAUCUGCGGUUGAUUGCAGUCGUUGCCGGUGGAUGGAAUUGCUACGUGCGGGAUCAGAACCGAGUUACCGGCGGGUUCGCGAUGAAGCUGAAGCAGCUCGGCUUGGUGGGAUUCGAAACGGUGGUGAUACCAUGGCACGAGUGGCCGUUAGAAUCACUGGAAGCGAAGGAAACGUACCUAUUCAACAUAUUAAACCCGCUGCUGGAGAAGCGGUAGACGUUUCAGGUAGGCGUCUUCAAAUUAUUCGUGUUAUCAAAUCUCCAGGUUUUAUGCAUAUUUACACAAAAAGAUCGUGAUUCUUUAUUGCUUACAUACGACUCUAACCCGUAUAAAGGCCACUUUGGAGAACUAAAACAAAAAAAUGCAUUACCUAAUAAAGUAAUCGGAAUAAAGUAGAUGAAAAAAAAAAAACAACCGCCUAGACGAA